UACAGAGGGGGCAAGCGUUAUUCGGAAUUAUUGGGCGUAAAGGGCGCGUAGGCGGCCUGGCAAGUGACGGGUGAAAGCCCUCGGCUUAACCGAGGAACUGCCUGUCAGACUGUUAGGCUUGAGACCGGGAGAGGUGAGUGGAAUUCCCAGUGUAGCGGUGAAAUGCGUAGAUAUUGGGAGGAACACCAGUGGCGAAGGCGGCUCACUGGACCGGUACUGGACGCUGAGGCGCGAAAGCGAUGGG
rnacentral:rRNA from 1 species